UCCGGUUUGUCACCGGCAGUCUGGCGUGAGUCCCCAACUUAAUGCUGGCAACACGCCACGGGGGUUGCGCUCGUUGCGGGACUUAACCCAACAUCUCACGACACGAGCUGACGACAACCAUGCACCACCUAUCGCAGACCCCGAAGGACACCGUAUCUCUACGGCUUUUCCUGCGUAGUUCAACCCAGGUAAGGUUCUUCGCGUUGCAUCGAAUUAAGCCACAUGCUCCGCCGCUUGUGCGGGCCCCCGUCAAUUCCUUUGAGUUUUAAUCUUGCGACCGUACUCCCCAGGCGGGAAGCUUAAUGCGUUAGCUGCGGCACGGAACCCGUGGAAUGGAUCCCACACCUAGCGCCCAACGUUUACGGCGUGGACUAC
rnacentral:misc_RNA from 1 species